rnacentral:rRNA from 1 species
UACGUAGGGAGCAAGCGUUGUCCGGAAUCAUUGGGCGUAAAGCGCGCGUAGGUGGCUUCGUAAGUCCGUUGUGAAAGUCAAAGGCUCAACCUUUGAAAGCCGAUGGAUACUGCGGAGCUAGAGUACGGAAGAGGCGAGUGGAAUUCCUGGUGUAGCGGUGAAAUGCGCAGAUAUCAGGAGGAACACCAAUUGCGAAGGCAGCUCGCUGGGACGUAACUGACGCUGAGACGCGAAAGCGUGGGGAGCAAACAGG